AGCUCCAAUAGCGUAUAUUUUAGUUGUUGCAGUUAAAAAGCUCGUAGUUGAAUUUCUGGUGGGGGAAUGCGGUCUGACCCUUAGGGUUAGCACUUGCACUCUCCGGCCAUCCUUGGGUGGAGCCAUUCUGGCAUUAAGUUGUCGGGGUGGGGAUGCCCAUCGUUUACUGUGAAAAAAUUAGAGUGUUCAAAGCAGACUUAUGUCGUUGAAUAUAUUAGCAUGGAAUAAUAAGAUAGGACAGCAGUGCUAUUUUGUUGGUUUGCGCACCGUUGUAAUGGUGAAUAGGGACAGUUGUGAGUAUUCGUAUUCACUUGUAAGAGGUGAAAUUCUUAGAUUAAGGGAAGACGAACUACUGCGAAAGCAUUUACCAAGGAUGUUUUCA
rnacentral:rRNA from 1 species